rnacentral:rRNA from 1 species
AUUGAACGCUGGCGGCAGGCUUAACACAUGCAAGUCGAACGAGUGGCGGACGGGUGAGUAAUGCUUUGGAAUCUCGCUUAUGGCGGGGGAUAACUACGGGAAACUGUAGCUAAUACCGCGUACCAUCGGAUGAGCCCAAGUGGGAUUCGGUAGUUGGUGAGGUAAAGGCUCACAAAGCCGACGAUCUCUAGCUUGUCUGAGAGGAUGACCAGCCAAACUGGGACUGAGACACGGACCAGACUCCUACGGGAGGCAGCAGUGGGGAAUAGUGCGAAAUGGGGGCAACCUGACGCAGCCAUGCCGAGUGAAUGAAGAAGGCCUUCGGGUGGUAAAGGUCUUUCGGUAGCGAGGCGUUAACUACAGAAGAAGCACCGGCUAACUCCGUGCCAGCAGCCGCGGUAAUUC